GACGAACGCUGGCGGCGUGCCUAAUACAUGCAAGUAGAACGCUGAAGAGAGGAGCUUGCUCUUCUUGGAUGAGUUGCGAACGGGUGAGUAACGCGUAGGUAACCUGCCUUGUAGCGGGGGAUAACUAUUGGAAACGAUAGCUAAUACCGCAUAACAAUGGAUGACACAUGUCAUUUAUUUGAAAGGGGCAAUUGCUCCACUACAAGAUGGACCUGCGUUGUAUUAGCUAGUAGGUGAGGUAAUGGCUCACCUAGGCGACGAUACAUAGCCGACCUGAGAGGGUGAUCGGCCACACUGGGACGGAGACACGGCCCAGACUCCUACGGGAGGCAGCAGUAGGGAAUCUUCGGCAAGGGGGGCAACCCUGACCGAGCAACGCCGAGGGAGUGAAGAAGGUUUUCGGAUCGGAAAGCUCUGUUGUAAGUCAAGAACGGGUGUGAGAGUGGAAAGUUCACACUGUGACGGUAGCUUACCAGAAAGGGACGGCUAACUACGUG
rnacentral:rRNA from 1 species